rnacentral:rRNA from 1 species
AGAGUUUGAUCAUGGCUCAGAUUGAACGCUGGCGGCAGGCCUAACACAUGCAAGUCGAACGGUAACAGGAAGCAGCUUGCUGCUUCGCUGACGAGUGGCGGACGGGUGAGUAAUGUCUGGGAAACUGCCUGAUGGAGGGGGAUAACUACUGGAAACGGUGGCUAAUACCGCAUAACGUCGCAAGACCAAAGAGGGGGACCUUCGGGCCUCUUGCCAUCAGAUGUGCCCAGAUGGGAUUAGCUUGUUGGUGAGGUAACGGCUCACCAAGGCGACGAUCCCUAGCUGGUCUGAGAGGAUGACCAGCCACACUGGAACUGAGACACGGUCCAGACUCCUACGGGAGGCAGCAGUGGGGAAUAUUGCACAAUGGGCGCAAGCCUGAUGCAGCCAUGCCGCGUGUAUGAAGAAGGCCUUCGGGUUGUAAAGUACUUUCAGCGGGGAGGAAGGUGUUGUGGUUAAUAACCGCAGCAAUUGACGUUACCCGCAGAAGAAGCACCGGCUAACUCCGUGCCAGCAGCCGCGGUAAUACGGAGGGUGCAAGCGUUAAUCGGAAUUACUGGGCGUAAAGCGCACGCAGGCGGUCUGUCAAGUCGGAUGUGAAAUCCCCGGGCUCAACCUGGGAACUGCAUUCGAAACUGGCAGGCUUGAGUCUUGUAGAGGGGGGUAGAAUUCCAGGUGUAGCGGUGAAAUGCGUAGAGAUCUGGAGGAAUACCGGUGGCGAAGGCGGCCCCCUGGACAAAGACUGACGCUCAGGUGCGAAAGCGUGGGGAGCAAACAGGAUUAGAUACCCUGGUAGUCCACGCCGUAAACGAUGUCUACUUGGAGGUUGUGCCCUUGAGGCGUGGCUUCCGGAGCUAACGCGUUAAGUAGACCGCCUGGGGAGUACGGCCGCAAGGUUAAAACUCAAAUGAAUUGACGGGGGCCCGCACAAGCGGUGGAGCAUGUGGUUUAAUUCGAUGCAACGCGAAGAACCUUACCUGGUCUUGACAUCCACGGAAGUUUUCAGAGAUGAGAAUGUGCCUUCGGGAACCGUGAGACAGGUGCUGCAUGGCUGUCGUCAGCUCGUGUUGUGAAAUGUUGGGUUAAGUCCCGCAACGAGCGCAACCCUUAUCCUUUGUUGCCAGCGGUUAGGCCGGGAACUCAAAGGAGACUGCCAGUGAUAAACUGGAGGAAGGUGGGGAUGACGUCAAGUCAUCAUGGCCCUUACGACCAGGGCUACACACGUGCUACAAUGGCGCAUACAAAGAGAAGCGACCUCGCGAGAGCAAGCGGACCUCAUAAAGUGCGUCGUAGUCCGGAUUGGAGUCUGCAACUCGACUCCAUGAAGUCGGAAUCGCUAGUAAUCGUGGAUCAGAAUGCCACGGUGAAUACGUUCCCGGGCCUUGUACACACCGCCCGUCACACCAUGGGAGUGGGUUGCAAAAGAAGUAGGUAGCUUAACCUUCGGGAGGGCGCUUACCACUUUGUGAUUCAUGACUGGGGUGAAGUCGUAACAAGGUAACCGUAGGGGAACCUGCGGUUGGAUCACCU